rnacentral:piRNA from 1 species
UCAAUUCAACUUCAGACAGUGGUUCUGUAC